rnacentral:misc_RNA from 1 species
CCGAGCUCCUGCCCUCCGGGUAGAGACGCCACCCUUGUGUAUCAGACCGCUGUUGCUUUGGCGGGCCCUGCCCGCCAGAGACCCCAAACCCUAAGUGUGUGUGUCGUCAGAGUACUAUUCAAUAGUUA